AGGGUCUUCCGCUUCCUUCGGAAGACCCUACUGUUAUUCUACUGUUUCUUAUUAUUAUUUUAUUUUUUUUUUCCCGCUCGAUUUUUGACAGGCGAUUUCUCAAAGACCUUUGGACUGAUUUUUAUGAAACUUUCAGGUUAGAUACCUUGUAAUUAAACCUAUUUACACCUGUUUUCAAUUUUUUGAUGCAUGCCUUUAAUUGUGAGUUAUUGCCCUUUAAUUGAUAAUUUUGAUGUCUCGUUUCCACUAAAAAUCUCAAGAACGACGUAAGAUAUUUACACGAAAGUUGGAGAACUUGUAGCCAAUACAUUGUAGAUGUGCAGAACGAUAAAAUUAUAAGCUGAUUUCCUAAAGUUUGGAAGCUAUAAAACGGCAAAUUUUAGUAAUUUUUUUUCUUGAAUUUUUGCUACUUUUUGUGUAAUAACUUUUGAACCGAGAAUAAUUUGGUAAGAAAUAUAUAACAAAAGUUGUGUGUAAUUACGAGAGCUUUCAUAUUAGAUUAAUGAAAAGGGGCUGGCCCCUAUAAUUAGGGGUUAAUAGCUCAUACACGUUUUUUCUGAUAGCUAAAAAUAUUGGUAUAUUAUGAAAAAGUUUGACUGAAAUAAUUUCGAACUUAUAAAAUCUUGUCAUUUGAUAUAAAAAGAAAUAAACUUCCAGCUAUAUUUAAUUGUUUUUUAUAUAAAACAAGUACAUGUAUGUGAGAAACCUUUCAGGAACAAGUUGUCUACUAUAGCCAGCCAAGCCUUUACUGCAUACAUGUGCACAUUUUUAGUUGAUGCAUCUAAAAGAUAUAGUUUUGAUUCGGUGUUUCUUUGUUUUCUUUUUAUUCAAAUAAUUUUAAAAUGUGAUGAUGUACACAACAAUAAUUAGUACCUAGUUUAGAGGAUUUUUUCGCGCUUGUUUGUAAACAACGCGCGGCAUUGUGGGAAAUAGGAAGGUACUAAAGACGCGAUGUACUAAACACUUAUUUGACCUGAUUCAAAUUUGUCUGUAAAUGUUCCAAACAAUUGAAUUUUUGUAUAGCAUAUGCCUCGAAGUCAUAAAGUCUGUACAUAAGUAAUUUAAAAUACUCAAUAUUACCAUUUAAUUAAAAAUUAAAACGUCAGGUAAAUAUCAGGUCUCUAGUAUAUCCCGUUUUUAGUGUGCCCCUUCGAGUCGACGUCGGACACAUGUUUGUCAUGGUUUACAAACUGAAAAUAGAAUGAUUUGUGAAGUUGAACAUUUUCUCACAAAGAAUCCGUUUGUAGACAUGCACACUCAUUUAAUCUGGAGCUACGAAGUACUUUGUCACUUCUCUGGAACAUUAUUCUAAGCAGAAUUAUCCCGAUUCAUAUAUUCUAAGAAUCUUGUGUGAAUUGUUUACGAGGAAAUUCUGACUGUCACAUUAACAAGGAUGAACACUCUUGACUCUGCUUCGGAUUCCCCAGUGAUAAUUGUAUCGAGUGAUGAAAGAGCUGACGGCGACAUUUUAAUGUAUGAUUGGCUUGGACCAUUGGAAUGAAGUCAUUUCAUGGUGCCACCACUUGGGAUGGUAUUAGCUGCAAAUAUAGACUUGUACUCAGCACUUAUUGCCUUUAAGAAGUAUGAGAUCCAUUUUGUGCUAACACCUACCGUGACACAGAAUCUUGGUUUAUGCAGUCUCAUAGGAGUAACCUGUCUAAAGCAUUUAGCAAUGGGAUUGGAACCUGUGACGUGUGACUCAUCUGAAGACUGAAUUUUGAUACCAAGCAUGACCAUGAUUUGCCAGAAGAUCAUCUGUUUGGAUGUGACAUGGAAUAAACAGCAUAGUGAAAAUAAGUCAAGUUUUGGUUUGUGAAGAUAAUUUUUAAACACACUGUGUAUCAUUUUUAAAUUUUGAUUUGACCCCAAAUAUGAACAUAUCAAUUGCUCUCAGUUUUUCAAGUGAAAUAGUUUUUGUAACAGAAAUACAUGUACCAGUAAUUACAUUGGAAUAAAUGUUAUUUUUAAAUAUAAUAA